GGCUGCAGCGCUUCGCGACUAACGGGGGACACCACCAGGGCAAAAGCAGCGCCGCGUUGUGUCUGCAGAAUACGGGGCAUGUAAUUUUUCUUUGGAAAACCGCUGCUUGCUUGGAGGACAAAACAAUAAACUUCCUUUUUCCCGCUUUUUUAGGUUGUCGAUUACAUGUUUGGAGAAGGACCCGAGCCCAGGAAAGUGGGAGUUGCCCUGAGAGGCUCGUCCGUGUGAUUCAGGAUGAUUGAGGAGAGUGGGAAGAGGAGGAGGACCAUGGCAGAGAAGAGGCAGCUGUUCAUGGAAAUGAGAGCCCAGAACUUUGAUGUCAUCAGGCUCUCCACGUACCGCACGGCCUGCAAGCUGCGCUUCGUGCAGAAACGCUGUAACCGU